rnacentral:misc_RNA from 1 species
GGUGAAGAACGCAGCGAAAUGCGAUAAGUAAUGCGAAUUGCAGAAUUCAGUGAGUCAUCGAAUCUUUGAACGCACAUUGCGCCCUGUGGUAUUCCGCAGGGCAUGCCUGUUCGAGCGUCAUUUCAACCCUCAAGCUCUGCUUGGUGUUGGGCCCUGCCCGCUGCGGCCGGCCCUAAAGACAGUGGCGGUGCCGCCUGGCCCUGAGCGUAGUACAUCUCUCGCUCCAGUGCCCGGUGGUAGCCUGCCAGAACCCCAACUCUCGUGGUUGACCUCGGAUCAGGUAGGGAUACCCGCUGAACUUAAGCAUAUCAAUAAGCGGAGGA